GCUCACCUCGUCUAGAGGCCUAGGACACCGCCCUUUCACGGCGGUAACAGGGGUUCGAAUCCCCUUGGGGACGCCA
rnacentral:tRNA from 2 species